rnacentral:rRNA from 1 species
UAAUACGUAGGGUGCGAGCGUUGUCCGGAAUUACUGGGCGUAAAGAGCUCGUAGGCGGUUUGUCGCGUCGUCUGUGAAAUUCUGCAACUCAAUUGCAGGCGUGCAGGCGAUACGGGCAGACUUGAGUACUACAGGGGAGACUGGAAUUCCUGGUGUAGCGGUGAAAUGCGCAGAUAUCAGGAGGAACACCGGUGGCGAAGGCGGGUCUCUGGGUAGUAACUGACGCUGAGGAGCGAAAGCGUGGGUAGCGAACAGG